rnacentral:rRNA from 1 species
UGGGGAAUUUUGGACAAUGGGCGAAAGCCUGAUCCAGCAAUGCCGCGUGUGUGAAGAAGGCCUUCGGGUUGUAAAGCACUUUUGUCCGGAAAGAAAUCCUUGGCUCUAAUACAGUCGGGGGAUGACGGUACCGGAAGAAUAAGCACCGGCUAACUACGUGCCAGCAGCCGCGGUAAUACGUAGGGUGCAAGCGUUAAUCGGAAUUACUGGGCGUAAAGCGUGCGCAGGCGGUUUGCUAAGACCGAUGUGAAAUCCCCGGGCUCAACCUGGGAACUGCAUUGGUGACUGGCAGGCUAGAGUAUGGCAGAGGGGGGUAGAAUUCCACGUGUAGCAGUGAAAUGCGUAGAGAUGUGGAGGAUACCGAUGGCGAAGGCAGCCCCCUGGGCCAAUACUGACGCUCAUGCACGAAAGCGUGGGGAGCAAACAGGAUUAGAUACCCUGGUAGUCCACGCCCUAAACGAUGUCAACUAGUUGUUGGGGAUUCAUUUCCUUAGUAACGUAGCUAACGCGUGAAGUUGACCGCCUGGGGAGUACGGUCGCAAGAUUAAAACUUAAAGGAAUUGACGGGGUCAUAGCUGUUUCCU